UGUCUAAGAAACAUGAUAUUGGCAUUCUGGAAUAAUUGAGAAUUCUAUCAUCCUAUUGGACAAAGUUCCAAACUACAUGACAACAGAGCCCCUGUGAAGCUGAUUGCAUAAAACUAAAAUAUGAAAGAAAAAAAAAACACUCAUGCAGAGCUCCCAAAUAUGUUUUCAAAGCCAGCCUUGAUAAAAAUUCCUCUGGUUAAAGAGUUCAAGAGCCCACCUAUCAAGUAGAAAAGAUACAUUCACUCUACCUGUACCAAAUGGUACCUUCAUCUGUUUGAUGAAACCAGGAGUAAAGCAAUAGACCAAGUUCUGCUUUUGGAAAAAGAAGACAGAUUCAAUCAUUGCAUAUUCUUAAUAUGCAAAUCAUUAACUGGAUGCGUUCUAAACUGGAAGACUCAGAGAAUAGCAGCCCCAGGCCAUGGCAAAAUCAAGUUGGCACUGAGUCCUUUUGAUCUGCAGUCUUUUGAUACAGUUUGAAAAGUUACCGUGGCAACAGAUUAUGUCACCUGAAGUUGAAGAACAUUGAAGAUGUCAGAGGAAAUGAGUAAUCUUUACCUGGAGAAGUAAGACAAGUAGCCUACGCCUCUUACCAGAAAGUGACAAUGAUGGCUACAUCAUUCAUUAUUCUUCUCUUUUAUUAAAAGAACAUAUAUGGUUAUGGCA